rnacentral:rRNA from 1 species
AUUGAACGCUGGCGGUAUGCUUAAGACAUGCAAGUCGAACGGUAACAGGUUAAGCUGACGAGUGGCGGACGAGUGAGUAACGCGUGGGAAUCUACCUUGUAGUGGGGGAUAAGCCAGGGAAACUUGGACUAAUACCGCAUACGCCCUAAGGGGGAAAGGCGCAAGUCGCUAUAAGAUGAGCCCGCGUCUGAUUAGGUAGUUGGUGGGGUAAAGGCCUACCAAGCCGACGAUCAGUAGCUGGUCUGAGAGGAUGAUCAGCCACGUCGGGACUGAGACACGGCCCGGACUCCUACGGGAGGCAGCAGUCGGGAAUAUUGCGCAAUGGACGGAAGUCUGACGCAGCGACGCCGCGUGAGCGAUGAAGGUCUUCGGAUCGUAAAGACUCUGUCCUUGGGGAAGGAAAGGCGAAAAGCUUGACGGUACCCAAGAAGAAAGACCCCGGCUAACUAACGUGCCAGCAGCCGCCGGUAAUGCUACGUAGAA